UACGUAUGGACCAAGCGUUGUUCGGAUUUACUGGGCGUAAAGGGCGCGUAGGCGGCUUGUCAAGUCACUUGUGAAAUCUCUGAGCUUAACUCAGAACGGCCAAGUGAAACUGACAUGCUAGAGUGCAGAAGGGGCAGUCGGAAUUCUUGGUGUAGCGGUGAAAUGCGUAGAUAUCAAGAGGAACACCUGAGGUGAAGACGGGUUGCUGGGCUGACACUGACGCUGAGGCGCGAAAGCCAGGGGAGCAAACGGG
rnacentral:rRNA from 1 species